rnacentral:lncRNA from 1 species
CUCUGAUUCGCUGGAAAGACUCAUGGAAUCUCUUGAGUCAUUGUCAUCCUCUUCCUCGCUGUCCUGGGAUUCAUCCCCAUCGCUGUCCAUCUCCUGCCUACCCUGUGCCUCUCUCCCUGAACCCCUGACAGUUAGGUUUAGGUUUAGGUUUAGGUUUAGGGUUAGGGUUAGGUUUAAGGUUAAGGUAGAGGUAGAGGUUCGGGUUCGGGUUCGGGUUCGGGUUCGGGUUCGGGUUAGGGUUAGGGUUAGGGUUAGGGUUAGGGUUAGGUUUGAGGUUAGAGUUAGAGUUAGAGUUAGAGUUAGGGCUAGGGCUAGGGCUAGGGCUAGGGUUAGGGUUAGGGUUAGGGUUAGGGUUAGGAUUGGGAUUGGGAUUGGGAUUGGGGUUGGGGUUAGGGUUAGGGUUAGGGUUAGGGUUAGGGUUAGGGUUAGGCUUAGGGUUAGGGUUAGGCUUGAGGUUAGGGUUAGAUUUAGGGUAGAGGUUAGGGUUAGCGUUAGGGUAUAGGCUAGGGUUAGAAUUAAGGUUAAGGUUAGGGUUAGGGUUAGGGUUAGGGUUAGGUUUGAGGUUAGAGUUAGAGUUAGAGUUAGAGUUAGAGUUAGGGCUAGGGCUAGGGCUAGGGUUAGGGUUAGGGUUAGGGUUGGGGUUGGGGUUGGGGUUGGGGUUGGGGUUGGGGUUGGGGUUGGGGUUGGGGUUAGGGUUAGGGUUAGGGUUAGGGUUAGGGUUAGGGUUAGGGUUAGGGUUAGGGUUAGGGUUAGGGUUAGGGCUAGGGCUAGGGCUAGGGCUAGGGCUAGGGCUAGGGCUAGGGUUAGGGUUAGGGUUAGUGUCAGGGGUUCAGGGACAGAGGCACAGGGUAGGGAGGAGAUGGAGAGCGAUGGGGAUGAAUCCCAGGACAGCGAGGAAGAGGAUGACAAUGACUCAAGAGAUUCCAUGAGUCUUUCCAGCGAAUCAGAGGAUUCCCAGAAGGGGCGCCAGUGGUCAAGGCCAGGGAGCCCCAGGGGGACGUGUCAGGAACAGGGGGCCAGCGGGGAUCCCAAAGUGGCAGCUGGGCGUCAGGACCAGCCUCCCGCCAGAGUGCAGCGAAGGGGAUGGAGGUUCCAGUGUAUCAGGUAAGCAGCUCCGGCAGCAGAGAAGGGAGGGAGGUCGGAGCAAGCCACCCUCCCGGAAGGGGAGGGGAGUAGUGAAGGGAGUAGUGUAGCUGUCAAAAGGAAGGUUAGAGGUUGGGCGCGCGCGCCUAGUUCAAAUGUAGAGGCGCGCGGAAGUACAGGGAGCCCGGAAGAAGAGCCAGGUCCUAAAGCCCGCAGGAGGGGGGAAGAGCAGUCGGGGGAUAGCGCGUCAGGGGAAUCCAGGAGGGGCGAAACCCCAGCGGGCAGGAAGACCCUGAGGAAAAGGAAAGAGAGAAAGAGGUGGAGCAGCGCAAGGCUCUUAAACUGGUGCAGGGGAGGGACUGACUCAGAGGGGACUUCAACGGUCUAAGCGUACAGACGUGGGGCUGCGCCUCGGAUAUGAAGCAAACAAUGAACUGCAAUAAACACUUUUGUAUAUAAGAAGAGAUUGGCGUUGGUCUUUUGUGAGCUGAGACCUGAGGCAGCUUUGACAGUUAGGGUUAGGGUUAGGGUUGGGAUUGGGAUUGGGAUUGGGGUUGGGGUUAGGGUUAGGGUUAGGGUUAGGGUUAGGGUCAGGCUUGGUGUUGAGUUUAGGGUCAGGGAUAGAGAUAGGGUUAGAGUUGAGGUUAUGGUAAAGGUAAGGGUUAUGGAUGGGCUUAGUGUUAGGGUUAGGGUAGAGUUUAGGGUUAGGGUUACGGUAGAGGUUGAGGUUUGGAUUAGAGUUGAGAUUGAGGUUUGGAUUAGGGUUAGGGUUUGGGUUGAGUUUAGGGUUAGGGUUAGGUUUGAGGUUAGAGUUAGGGUUAUGGUUAGGGUUAAUGUUCAGGUUAGGAUAGAGGUUAGGGUUAGGUUUUGGGUUUGAGUUUAGGUUAGGGUAGAGGUUAGGGUUAGGGUUGAGGUUAGGGUUAGUGUUACGGUUGGGGUUGAGGUUAGGGUUAGGGUUAGGCUAAAAGUUAGGGUUAGGGUUAGGAUUGAGGUCGAGGUUUGGAUUAGGGUAGGGUUAGAGUUAAUGUUAGGGUUAUAUUUGAGGUUAGGUUUGAGGUUGAGGUUUGGUUUAGGGCAGGAUUAGGGUUAAUGUUAGGGUUAGGGUUAGGGUUGUGGUUAGGUUUAGGGUUGAAGUCGAGGUUUGGAUUAGGGUAGGGUUAGAAUUAAUGUUAGGGUCAGGGUUGGUGUUGAGUUUAGGGUUAGGAUUAGGGUUAGGGUUAGGGUUAGGGUCAGGGUCAGGGAUAGGGUUAGGGUUAGGGUUAGGGUUGAGUUUCGGGUUAGGGUUCGGGUUCAGGUUGUGGUUUUGGAUUAGCGUUGAGGUUGAGGUUUAGGGUUAAAGGGUUAGGGUUAGGGUCAGAAGUCGGGGGAGGGUUAGGUUUGAGGUUGAGGUUAGAGUUAGGGUCAGGGUUAGGGUUGAACUUUGAGUUAGGGUUAGAUGUAAGGUUUGAAUUAGGCUUCAGGUUAGGGUAAGGUUUAGGGUUGAGGUUAGGGUAAGGAUUAGGGUUAGGGUUAGGCUUAGGUUUCGGUUUGGCAUUUAGUUUAGAGUUAGGGUUGAGGUUAGGGUUAGGGUGAGGGUGAGGGUUAGGGUUAGGGUGAGGGUUAGGGUUGGCUCUAGGGUUAAGGUUGAGGUUCACUACAACAAAUCUGGCCCUCUUUGAAAAAAGUUUGGGCACCCCUGAUAUAAGGUAACAAAAGCAGUUUCUGUGCGAAAGCGGGCCUAAAUCCCAAAUGAAAUUGGUCUAGAAAAUCAGUUUCCUCCAAGAGUGCCUGAAUCUGGUCUGCGACCACCCACUGAAGAACCUUCCUCAAGAAGAGGCUCAUGAAGAUGCAGUGUAACGCUCUCCAUUCAUAUGCCUUUUUUGCUACCUUCACUGCCAUUGUUGUUGUUGUUUAGUCGUUUAGUCGUGUCCGACUCUUCGUGACCCCAUGGACCAGAGCACGCCAGGCACUCCUGUCUUCCACCGCCUCCCACAGUUUGGUCAAACUCAUGCUGGUAGCUUCGAGGACACUGUCCCACCAUCUCGUCCUGUCGUCCCCUUCUCCUUGCGCCCUCCAUCUUUCCCAACAUCAGGGUGUUUUCCAGGGAGUCUUCUCUUCUCAUGAGGUGGCCAAAGUCUUGGAGCCUCAGCUUCAGGAUCUAUCCUUCCAGUGAGCACUCAGCGCUGAUUUCCUCCAGAAUGGAUAGGUUUGAUCUUCUUUCAGUCCAUGGGACUCUCA